AUGUGCAGAAUAGAGGCUCUCUCCUGGAGUGGGGUGGUGGUGAACGCCCCCGUUUUAUUUUUCGAAAAAGUAACUCCCAGACAGCCCCCUAAAAGCUGUGCCUCGUGGAGGCCGUGUCAGAGAAAGGUGACUCUGUUCCGGAAGGAAACCAGCUCUGGCUCCUGGCCACCGGGCAGCUCCCUCCAUGAGGUAAAGCUGAGGACCCAGGCCGGGCUGGAAGGGAAGGAGGGAGAAUACACGUCCCCAAAGCACAGGAGACUAUUUUUGAUAUUUAUAGCUAUAUAUUCAGGCACCUGCCGCAAGAGCUCUCAGGAUGGGGACAGCCUUCUUAGACGAGCCAUGACAGCCAAGGCCUGGGGGGUAAGGACAGCAUCACGCCUCCAGUGGCGUAUUAACCCCAGAGAAGGGGAGGCAGGAGGGAGGUAGACACCGUGGCUCAGAGAGAAAGGCCUUCCCGCUAGUCCUCAGACCCUCAAACCUCACGCGGUGACCAGUUUCCAUUCCGGGGCCCGAGGAACGCGGCCGCCGCUGCUGCGCUGUUUAGUUGAAGUUGGUACCAAAUACGCAUUGACCAUUUUUCUAUCUGGGAAGUCAACUUGCCGCCAUGACAUGAUUAAAAGAAAGAAAACACCAUUUGUAAGGAGACAAGGACAGGACACGCUUUCCACGUUUCAGUAUUUGAUGACACAAAGUUCCAAUGCCAAUGUCGGGCAUCCACUUCUAGCGCUACAAGUGUGGCUCCCACUUGGACAAGAUACCGAGCUUCGUUAUGCAGUUUUUAAUAUUAUUUAUUCUUUUAAAAAAGUAAUAAGCACAAAAUUACAUACAUUGUAUGUCAUUUAAAGUAUUUAUGUCAAACAGGGUGCAAGUGUGAACCCAAGGACUGGAGCACAAGUUUCUAACUGCCUGGGGCAGGGCUAAGGUUAGCGUUGGUGUGCGUCUGCCUCCAAAGGAGGUGUUAGUGGUCAGCGAGACUCAACACAGAUGACAGUGAAAUUCCGUUUCUCUCCUCAUCUAUCACACUGGAGCAAAACUGGCUAUUUCUGUGAAUGAUAGAAAACAGGGUUCUCUGUAAUGAUCUUGUACAUAGUCUAUGUUUAUUGUUAAGUUCUUGUUAUAUUAUAAUAAAUAUAUUUAUAGAUCUAGACUCGGAAGCCAAUGUAAUGCCUCUGUGUGCCACUGUCCCUGCCACCGAGAUGAGAAACCCCAGUGCAGGCCCACGCUGCCCCUCACGUCAGCUGUCUGGGCCCUGUCACAGACCUGAAGGCAGGUCUUGGUGACCCUAAAAGGACAGGGCUCCCUAGCAAGAGAAGGUGUAGGUAGGGCCGGAGGCCAUGACAGCCAAGAGCUGUCAAGGGCAAUGAGAGGUCAAAGGGGAAAGGGCCGAGCGGACACUCUGGCGUUGAUGCUGAGGCUCUUGCUUCCAUCUAAGUGCUCUUACUACGCUCGUGCAACUGAAAGCUUCCAAGGUUGCUGCCCCUACAUCUGACUCCUGUGCCUGAGCCCCCGUGGAGGACUCUGCCACAUCCACGCGGCAACUCCAGCUCGUCGGCCUGAAAAGAGACACAGCACGCUUCCUCCAGGAAGAAUGAGGUGGGACUUCCGUCCCAAAACCCAGUCAGGGUGGCCUCCCUGCCUUCAGUCAUGUCUGAGGCUCUUUAACGUGCUGUGUUGACCGGCUUUGCACUGCUAAGGACACCCACGCAAAGCCCUGGGUGACAGCGCAGAACAUCAGACAAGACGGCUCCCUCUCUGGCAGGGAAGACGUAACGGAUUAGUAGAAGAAGGCAGACUUACCAGCAUUUCACCCACGUGAAGAGCCCCCCACCCUUAAUCCCCAAAUCCCACCAAGACCUAGUGACUCCUUGCAAGAAGAAAUCGGAAGGCAGGCUGGGGUAGGUGGGAGUUCUCAGAGAACUUGGCUGAGGCUUUGUGGUGAGUGGAGCAUACGCUCGCCGAAAAUACCUGCACUGUUAUCUUCAGCAACACCAGUCCUGGAGGACAGGAUGGACAAUGUCUAGAAAAUGCCAAGCACGAAGAGCUGAAAUUAUAACCUAUUAGAAAAGCCAAGCAAUAAUUUUAUUAGCUCCUUCCUUCCUCUACUCUAUUGUCCUAAAAUAACCGUUCUCUGGGCCCAUGAAAAGUGUGUGUAGUUACCAUAGAAAACAUGCGUGUCCACUCUAUUCGGGGCCCAUGCAACCAAGGGGAGAGUCUCUUGUUGGACGCAAGGUCCCACAAUCAGACAAGGCAUGGAUGGUGAGAAAGUUCAUCAUGACAGCCACCAACAGGAGAUGGCUCUGUGUGUGUGUGUGUGUGUGUGUGUGCGCGCGCGCGCGUGUGCACGUGUGCGUGUGUGAGGACUUUUUUAAAAACUCAAAAUAAGAAGAAAACAGCUGAAGUACUUGCAGUCCAUAUGACAAAAGAUUAACAUCUUUAUUCAAGAGCCUGUGUUAUUCAGUUAGAAACUGUUAAGUGAUUCCAAUGGUUAAAUAGGUCAUGAACAGACCCUGCAAAGAGGGCAACCUUGCUAGUAAACACACAACAACAAAAAUUGUCCACAUAAAUGAUAAUUCUAAAAUAAUGAAACUUAACCAAUGAGGUAACAUCUUUACCUACUAAAUUAGCUUCCCAAACCUAAAAAUAAAGGCGGGGUAGGGGGUGCGGGGAGGACUCCAACUGCGGGUGAGCAGUGAACUCUGGAGUAGCACCAAGGGCUUUGUCAACUGAAAUGGCUCUUGGAAAGCAAGGUGGCGGGUGCCCUGUAUCCAGAACCUAAAGCCUACCUGACCCAGUCAAUCCCCUUCCAGGCACCCACUGGGAAAUAAGGCAAACUGCAGAAGUCAUGCAACAACUAGCUCCCAUUUAUUGACUCGAACUCUAUGCAGGGCAACAUGCUAAGCACUUCAAGCAUCGAAUCCUCAUUAUUCUACUAGACAGGGACGAAAGCCAUGCAGCGACUAAAGAAAACAUAAGGGGCGAGGGGGGACAAGACUCAUAUUUGUGUAUGAUCGUGGUUAUGUAAGAUAUGUAUAUGAUGAUAUAUAAGCUAUAUAUAUAUACACACACACACAAAGAUAUGUAAAAUCUGUAUAUAAAAAUGACCAGAUGUACAGUCAUAAAACUACUGAAAUUCAACUGAUGGAAUUGUGGGUAGUUUUCUUUCUCUCUUCUCUAAAGUGUAUAUAAAGUGAUGACAUUGCUUUUGUAAUAAAGAUACAGAUAUUUUUAACGGGGAAUGGGAAGGACGGAAAGUCAUCUUUUUACUAAAGUAUAUUUUAGUCUGAGAAACUCUCCAGGAUCAUUCCUCUCUUGAGCACCAUAAGCAACGGAAAAGUUAUAAAGGGCUCAGAAUAAUGUAACAAAGAAUUACAAAUAAGAAAAUAGGUUUCCAGUAAUAAUAAAGACUUUUUUUUUUUAAACCUAAAGCCUAGGGGGUGAGUGGAUUCUAUCUUUCAGUGCGGGAAGAUUUUUAUGAACCAAAGGAACACCAACAUUUCUCUGUGUCCUUGGAAGGUCAAGAAAGAAGAAAAGGACAACAAUAAAGGGAAGAUUGUAGCUCAACAUAAGGAUACAUGUAUUAGUGCAAGAACUCUGGAAGAGGUUCCCAAGAGCCUCAUGAAGGUCUUCUCCAACUAAACCUCCACAAUAUAUUUUAGCAUACAUGAUCUCAUUUUAUCCUCUCAACUCCCCUAAAAGGCCCAUGGCAUCAUCUCCAACUCUCUAAGAGGAAAUAAUCUCCAAAAAGUGAAGCAGUGUGUGCAGGAACAGUUACACCCCAGUUUCACGAUUGCAUUUAAUGCUCAUCACCAUCCUGCAGAGGCUGGUUAUCCCUGCUUCACAGGUGAGACCACAGGUUCCAGACACGAAGCAGAGGCUCAAUCUAAGGCACACCAGUGUUCAAACCCCACUCGAUGGGGCUCCAGGGAGGCUGUGCUACAUCACACAGCCUUGCAAGGCCACCUGACAUUGGGUAGCUUUUAUGGCUCCAAGACGAAGCCUCCUUCUGCCUCCUCCCCAGCUACUGAGAAAUCUGUGUUAAGAAAGCAGAGAAUUCUGUGAAUAUGAUAGACAUUCAGAGCUGCCACCAUCCCUGAGAACUCCAGGACUGGGCACAUCUGCUCCAUCUACACAGCUGCUGUCAAGGGGACCGCAAACACAGAAAGCUAGACAACAUGAGACAACAAAGGAACGUGUUCCAGACAAAGGAACAAGACAAAAACACACAUGAGGAGGAGACAGGCAGUCUAGCUGCCUGAAAAAGAAUGCAGAGUGACAACAGUAGACAGACAUGCAGUUCUGUGUGAGAUACAGUCCCCUUUAGAAGUGGUUUUUGAAAUGCCUGGUAAGAGUCUCGACACCACCCUGGCUUCCUCCACCAAAGGCUUCGGCUUCACACAGGCAGCUUGCACUGGGGGGAGAGAAAGAGCCACUGAC
ensembl:lncRNA